rnacentral:tRNA from 1 species
AAGGGUAUAGCUCAGUGGUAGAGUGCAUGCCUAGCAUUCAGGAGGGUCCUGGGCUCAAUUCCCAGUACCUCCA